ensembl:miRNA
UCUGGCCUGGAGAAGCCCUGGAGUGAAAACAGGCCCAGGGUGCCUCUAGGCUGGUGG